AGAGUUUGAUCCUGGCUCAGAUUGAACGCUGGCGGCAUGCCUUACACAUGCAAGUCGAACGGCAGCACGGGUGCUUGCACCUGGUGGCGAGUGGCGAACGGGUGAGUAAUGUUUCGGAAUCUGCCCAAUGGUGGGGAAUAACCAGCCGAAAGGUUGGCUAAUACCGCAUAAGCCUACGGGAGAAAGCGGGGAUCGUAAGA
rnacentral:rRNA from 1 species